AUUGAACGCUGGCGGCAGGCCUAUCACAUGCAAGUCGAGCGAGCGGCGGACGGGUGAGUAAUGUAUGGGGACUGCCCGAUAGAGGGGGAUAACUACUGGAAACGGUGGCUAAUACCGCAUACUAUCGGAUAACCCAUAUGGGAUUAGCUAGUAGGUGGGGUAAAGGCUCACCUAGGCGACGAUCCCUAGCUGGCCUGAGAGGAUGAUCAGCCACACUGGGACUGAGACACGGCCCAGACCCCUACGGAGGCAGCAUGAGGGAAUCUGCGACAAUGGACGAAAGCCUGAUCGAGCCAUGCCGCGUGUGUGAAGAAGGUCUUAGGGUCGUAAAAUUCUUUUGUUAGGGAAGCGUUACCCGCAGAAGAAGCCACGGCUAACUCCGUGCCAGCCGCCGCGGUAAUUC
rnacentral:rRNA from 1 species